AGAACGAACGCUGGCGGCAGGCCUAACACAUGCAAGUCGAACGCCCCGCAAGGGGAGUGGCAGACGGGUGAGUAACGCGUGGGAACAUACCCUUUGGUUCGGAACAACUCAGGGAAACUUGAGCUAAUACCGGAUACGCCCGAGAGGGGAAAGAUUUAUCGCCAAAGGAUUGGCCCGCGUUCGAUUAGCUAGUUGGUGAGGUAACGGCUCACCAAGGCGACGAUCGAUAGCUGGUCUGAGAGGAUGAUCAGCCACAUUGGGACUGAGACACGGCCCAAACUCCUACGGGAGGCAGCAGUGGGGAAUAUUGGACAAUGGGCGAAAGCCUGAUCCAGCCAUGCCGCGUGAGUGAUGAAGGCCCUAGGGUUGUAAAGCUCUUUCGUCAGGGACGAUAAUGACGGUACCUGAAGAAGAAGCCCGGCUAACUUCGUGCCAGCAGCCGC
rnacentral:rRNA from 1 species